CCAUUGUCCCCAGAAUCUGAAUCAGAAACACUGAAAACAGCAACUACAGCUUCAGGACCAUUUUCUGGGAUGGAAGUAGUGAGCGAAGAUAUGAAUCCCUGUCUCCAACUCUGAAGAUGCUGAUUAUGGUCUCAGGAGCAUUUUCUGGGACUGAGCUGGUCAGUGAAGAUAUGGUCAGCUCUGGGGCAUUGUCGUUCACAUCCACCACCUCUAUCACCACCUCUCCCUUCCCAGAAAGACCUCCUCCAUCUAUGGCCUCGAUUUCCAGGUGGACAGAGAGAUUUAUAACCACAUGGAGAGACUGCAGGUGAAAGAGAUUUAAUUUGGUCAAAUCAAAAGUAGGAAAUGACAAUUGGGAGGUAGAAUACUGCUGUGGAUUGACAGAUUUCAUCUUCAAGUAAUUCUACAUCAAGACAGACUGAAAUAGGAAGAAAGGAACCUAUUGAUAGAAACCAGUGGAAAUAUUUCCCCCAGGUCACCCUAUUUAUGGCAAGUAUUAGCAAUAAAAAGACUAAAACAC